GACGAACGCUGGCGGCGUGCCUAAUACAUGCAAGUUGAGCGCUGAAGGUUGGUACUUGUACCAACUGGAUGAGCAGCAAACGGGUGAGUAACGCGUGGGGAAUCUGCCUUUGAGCGGGGGACAACAUUUGGAAACGAAUGCUAAUACCGCAUAAAAACUUUAAACACAAGUUUUAAGUUUGAAAGAUGCAAUUGCAUCACUCAAAGAUGAUCCCGCGUUGUAUUAGCUAGUUGGUGAGGUAAAGGCUCACCAAGGCGAUGAUACAUAGCCGACCUGAGAGGGUGAUCGGCCACAGUGGGACUGAGACACGGCCCAAACUCCUACGGGAGGCAGCAGUAGGGAAUCUUCGGCAAUGGACGAAAGUCUGACCGAGCAACGCCGCGUGAGUGAAGAAGGUUUUCGGAUCGUAAAACUCUGUUGGUAGAGAAGAACGUUGGUGAGAGUGGAAAGCUCAUCAAGUGACGGUAACUACCCAGAAAGGGACGGCUAACUACGUG
rnacentral:rRNA from 1 species